UCACAAGGAUACUAAUUGUAUGCUUUGUUUGUGGUUGUGCUUUGUUUGCCAUUGUUACUCCUUUAUGGAGAUCUAUGUUCUAUCAAGUUCCCCUGUUGUUGGGAAAUCUUUAUUUGCAGGGAAUGAAAGCUUCUUUGGUGUUUAUGGAUUUGCUGUUGCAUCUUGUUUGGACAUGCUAUCUUCUAAAACCCUUGAAGUUCCCUUGCGAGACAUUUCUAUCGCUUAUCGUUCUAGCACCUACACGUUGGUAGCAGAAGAUAUUGUAGCGAAGACUGCCUUAUCAUUGAAUAACGCCCUCUUGUUGGCGUGGAACGAAGACUCUUUGGUUUUGCAAUUGUUCAUGGACUCCCAGUUCAGUGUAAAAUCUUUCAAGUCACUCGAAGUCACCGUUGAGCUAGGAAGAAUUCUGCUUGUUUUAAGCUUCUUUCACCUUCGGUUUAUCCCCAUGUUUUUUGCAUUAUUCUCUUAUACUGCGUUUGUGUUUGCAGUUCUUUCAGUUUUUAGUGAUGUGUUUUACUCUUGUAAUGGAGACUAAAUUAUUUCUAUAUCUAUAAAAUCAGUUUGAUAAAAAAAAAAAAACUGAACAAAUUUUAUUUGGU
rnacentral:sRNA from 1 species